GCUGCGGUAGCUCAGUGGUAGAGCACUCCCUUGGUAAGGGAGGGGCCAAACUGUAACCGCGCA
rnacentral:tRNA from 1 species